CAGCAGACGUCUGGAUCUGAACUUCUACCUUUGUCGUCUGAAGAUCUGCCUGAUCACGUGUUCCUCAGUUCAUCUGUCAGCCAGAGGAAGAGCAUUUCACAUCCCGAAGAGACAUUACAGGACAAACCAGAGCGGAUCGGAGAGGCAGAAGUUCUCACGCUGUACCCAGAAAACACAUAAUGCCGCUGCUGUCAUAAACAUUAGCUCGUUUAGCAGUUGUAUUAUCAUAAUCAUCAUAGUGCAAUGCAAUGUAAAUUUUUAAUUUCUUGUUAAUAAAGCAUACAAACAGGUAUUUUUCUUGAGCGUAUUUAUUUUCUGUGGGAGUCAC
rnacentral:lncRNA from 1 species